rnacentral:rRNA from 1 species
GACGAACGCUGGCGGCGUGCUUAACACAUGCAAGUCGAACGGAAAGGCCCUGCUUUUGUGGGGUGCUCGAGUGGCGAACGGGUGAGUAACACGUGAGUAACCUGCCCUUGACUUUGGGAUAACUUCAGGAAGCUGGGGCUAAUACCGGAUAGGAGCUCUUGCUGCAUGGUGGGGGUUGGAAAGUUUCGGCGGUUGGGGAUGGACUCGCGGCUUAUCAGCUUGUUGGUGGGGUAGUGGCUUACCAAGGCUUUGACGGGUAGCCGGCCUGAGAGGGUGACCGGCCACAUUGGGACUGAGAUACGGCCCAGACUCCUACGGGAGGCAGCAGUGGGGAAUAUUGCACAAUGGGCGGAAGCCUGAUGCAGCAACGCCGCGUGCGGGAUGACGGCCUUCGGGUUGUAAACCGCUUUCGCCUGUGACGAAGCGUGAGUGACGGUAAUGGGUAAAGAAGCACCGGCUAACUACGUG